GGCCGGCUGGCCUAAUGGUUAAGGCGUCAGUUUCCGGCAUUCUCAAGAUUGAAUCGACAUUCAAUCUUGAAAAUGACAAGCUGAAGAUUCUGGGUUCGAAUCCCAGGUUGGUCG